rnacentral:tRNA from 1 species
GGCUUGAUAGUUUAACUGAGAAUAUCAUAUUGCAAAUAUGAAGAUGUAUGGAAUAUACUCAAGCUU